CAAUAGCGUAUAUUAAAGUUGUUGCGGUUAAAAAGCUCGUAGUUGGAUUUCUGCUGAGGACGAUCGGUCCGCCCUCUGGGUGAGUAUCUGGCUCGGCCUUGGCAUCUUCUUGGAGAACGUUACUGCACUUGACUGUGUGGUGCGGUAUCCAGGACUUUUACUUUGAGGAAAUUAGAGUGUUUCAAGCAGGCGCACGCCUCGAAUACAUUAGCAUGGAAUAAUAAGAUAGGACCUUGGUUCUAUUUUGUUGGUUUCUAGAGCUGAGGUAAUGAUUAAUAGGGAUAGUUGGGGGCAUUCGUAUUUAACUGUCAGAGGUGAAAUUCUUGGAUUUGUUAAAGACGGACUACCGCGAAAGCAUUUGCCAAGGAUGUUUUCAUUGA
rnacentral:rRNA from 1 species